GGUUUUCCGGUGCAGGAUGGGCCCGCGGCCUAUCAGCUUGUUGGUGGGGUAACGGCCCACCAAGGCGACGACGGGUAGCCGGCCUGAGAGGGCGACCGGCCACACUGGGACUGAGACACGGCCCAGACUCCUACGGGAGGCAGCAGUGGGGAAUAUUGCACAAUGGGCGCAAGCCUGAUGCAGCGACGCCGCGUGAGGGAUGACGGCCUUCGGGUUGUAAACCUCUUUCAGUACCGACGAAGCGCAAGUGACGGUAGGUACAGAAGAAGCACCGGCCAACUACGUGCCAGCAGCCGCGGUAAUACGUAGGGUGCGAGCGUUGUCCGGAAUUACUGGGCGUAAAGAGCUCGUAGGCGGUUUGUCGCGUCGUCUGUGAAAACCCGCAGCUCAACUGCGGGCUUGCAGGCGAUACGGGCAGACUUGAGUACUGCAGGGGAGACUGGAAUUCCUGGUGUAGCGGUGAAAUGCGCAGAUAUCAGGAGGAACACCGGUGGCGAAGGCGGGUCUCUGGGCAGUAACUGACGCUGAGGAGCGAAAGCGUGGGUAGCGAACAGGAUUAGAUACCCUGGUAGUCCACGCCGUAAACGGUGGGCGCUAGGUGUGGGUUUCCUUCCACGGGAUCCGUGCCGUAGCUAACGCAUUAAGCGCCCCGCCUGGGGGAGUACGGCCGCAAGGCUAAAACUCAAAGGAAUUGACGGGGGCCCGCACAAGCGGCGGAGCAUGUGGAUUAAUUCGAUGCACGCGAAGACCCUUACUUGGGUUUUGACAUACACCGGACCGCCCCAGAGAUGGGGUUUCCCUUGUGGUCGGUGUCAGUGGGUGCAUGGCUGUCGUCAGCUUCCUGUCGUGAGAGCUGGGUUAAGUCCCGCAACAGCG
rnacentral:rRNA from 1 species